rnacentral:ncRNA from 1 species
GUGAUCAGUAUUAGAGAGAAUAGAGCAGUUAGACUCUAUCGCCGAAGGUGCAAGUAAUUAUUACGAAACUCUCAGGCAAAAGGAUAAUACUGUAACG